AUGGGAUUUAACCCUUCACUGCCCACAGCACCAGAAAAAAGGGGAACAGUGGAAGUCAGGGAGCUGGGAAUCGAUAUUUACUCUUACACAGUAAGAAAGAAUAAGGAUACUUGACUGAUACAAUCCUCACAAUCUUUGGAACAUGUGCAGAAAUUCCACAGCAAGCUUUCUGAUCAAGAGUAGAGCUGGAACCAGCAGAUUGGCCAGUAUGACCAAAGGAAAAUAAUACAUGUUGAAGAGGAUGUGGCAAAAUUGGGACACUAAUACAGUGCUGGUGGAGCUGUGAAUUGAUCCAACUAUUCUGGAAAGCAAUUUGGAACGAUGCCCAAAGGGCUUUAAAAGAAUGCAUACCUUUUGAUCCAGCAACCCCACUACUAAAUUUGUACCCAAAAGAGAUAAUAAUGAAAAAUAUUUGUACAAAAAUAUUCAUAGCUGUGCUCUUUGGGGUGGCAAAAAAUGGAAAAUGAGGGGGUGUCCCUCAAUUGGAGAAUGGCUGAACAAAUUGUGGUAUAUAAUGGUGAUUGAAUACUAUUGUGCUGUAAGGAAUGUUGAACUGGAGGAUUUCUAUGUGAUCUGGAAGAACCUCCAGGAACUGCUGGAGAGUGAAAUGAGCAGAACCAAGAGAACAUUAUACACUGAGAGUGAAACACUGUGGAAAAAUCCAAAGUAAUAGACGUUGCUACUACAAGACAAUCCCAGGAGACUUAUGAGAAAGAAUGCUAUCUACAUAGAGAGAAAGAACUGUGGGUAGAACCACAGAAGAAAAACAAAUGACUUAUUUAUGUAUAUGGUUAUAUGAUUGGGGGUUUUAGUUUUAAAAGAUUGCUCUAUUGCAAAAA